rnacentral:lncRNA from 1 species
CAGUACGUGGGCUUUCCUGCAUAUGCAUCAUGUUUUACAACACAGGCGCUACUUUACUUUCAUCUCUGUGGCUUUUACAGACUUUUCAAAAUGUUUGCAUGGCUCUUUGGAUUAGAUUCAGCUGCUGCCUUCCCCCCCACAGGUGGCAGCUCUUUGUUGUCUCAAGCUUCUAUCAGAACAUGUGGUGCAUAUUCAGAGUUCUAUACUGCUGUUACAAUUGCUGAACUCCUGUCAGCUUGGAUGAGAGAUUUUUAUUUAUAUCUGUAAAUAGAUAUCUUUUAAUCUCCAAUUGCUGUGUGUUUUGAUGAACACAGCACAGCUGAUUUUAAAAGAUGAGAAUCAGUGGGAGUUCAAGGACUUGGUUGGCAGUGAUGCUAAUAGAAGAGAGUGCUCACAGUGGUGGAGUUGUCUCAGAACCAAGACAUCUUUUUGUUGUUCUUGUUGCUGUUUUCUUAUUCUCCACUGGAUUCAUUCAGGACUGAAGACGAAUUUGCUUCUCAAGAGGUAUAACUGCAUUUGAAUAAAAUGGUUUGUUGAUUAUUUUGAAAACAUACUGAACUCCUUUGUCUCUUGCU